CCUACGGGAGGCAGCAGUGGGGAAUUUUGCGCAAUGGGGGAAACCCUGACGCAGCAACGCCGCGUGAGUGAUGAAGGCCUUCGGGUCGUAAAGCUCUGACAGAAGGGAAGAAGUGAAGGGAUGUUAAUACCAUCUUUUCUUGACGGUACCUUCAAAGGAAGCACCGGCUAACUCCGUGCCAGCAGCCGCGGUAAU
rnacentral:rRNA from 1 species